CUGGCUAUAUUAAUAGCGGCGAACUUUAUCAAAGCACCCCACGUCUCGUUCUCCCAAAUCCCUAAAACGCAUUUUCUCUCCAAAUUCCUCUAUGGCCUGAACACCUUCACUCCACCGAUGAAGCUUAUCUCCUCCUCAUCUCUCUAUCUCGGUUCUCUCUCAUAAAUUGUUGCUGAUGAGGUGGUUGAUGAGAAUGAAGACGAUGAGAUGAUUCACGUUGUGGAAGACUUCCUUUUACCGACAAAUGAGGAAGUAGAAAUGGAUCUUGGUGAGAGUCAGUAUUAUGACGGCGGGACAUUAGCAGCGGACCUUCCCGCCGUAAUAGCAUUUAUUUUUGUUGUGUGAAGAGUUCAACUAAUGCAAUAUUGGGGAUUCUCUUGUGCACCUCCUAUUUUUGAGUGUAUCAAUACACACUUUUUAUGUUUACGGUA